rnacentral:misc_RNA from 1 species
GAUGAAGAACGUAGCGAAAUGCGAUACGUAAUGUGAAUUGCAAAUUCAGUGAAUCAUCGAGUCUUUGAACGCACAUUGCGCCCCCUGGUAUUCCGGGGGGCAUGCCUGUCCGAGCGUCAUUGCUGCCCUCAAGCACGGCUUGUGUGUUGGGCCCCGUCCUCCGAUCCCGGGGGACGGGCCCGAAAGGCAGCGGCGGCACCGCGUCCGGUCCUCGAGCGUAUGGGGCUUUGUCACCCGCUCUGUAGGCCCGGCCGGCGCUUGCCGAUCAACCCAAAUUUUUAUCCAGGUUGACCUCGGAUCAGGUAGUGAUACCCGCUGAACUUAAGCAUAUCAAUAAGCGGAGGA